rnacentral:rRNA from 1 species
AGAGUUUGAUCCUGGCUCAGGAUCAACGCUGGCGGCGUGCCUAAUGCAUGCAAGUCGAGCGGGGUGCUCUUCGGAGCACUUACGCGGCGGACGGGUGCGGAACACGUGGGCAACCUGCCCCGAGGUGGGGGAUAGCCGGUGGAAACACCGGGUAAUUCCGCAUACGGUCACUGGCUGGAGGGCUGGUGAGGAAAGGGUCUUCGGACUCGCCUUGGGAGGGGCCUGCGGCCGAUUAGCUAGACGGUGGGGUAACGGCCUACCGUGGCGAUGAUCGGUAGCUGGUCUGAGAGGACGGCCAGCCACACGGGGACUGAGACACGGCCCCGACUCCUACGGGAGGCAGCAGCAAGGAAUCUUCCGCAAUGGGCGAAAGCCUGACGGAGCAACGCCGCGUGUGGGAUGACGCCUUUCGGGGUGUAAACCACUUUUCUCAGGGAAGAAUUCCUGACGGUACCUGAGGAAUAAGGACCGGCUAACUACGUGCCAGCAGCCGCGGUAAUACGUAGGGUCCGAGCGUUGUCCGGAGUUACUGGGCGUAAAGCGCGCGCAGGCGGCGGUGUAAGCAUGGCGUGAAAGCCCCAGGCUCAACCUGGGAGGGUCGUCGUGGACUGCACCGCUUGAGGGCGGUAGGGGCUGGUGGAAUGCCUGGUGUAGUGGUGAAAUGCGUAGAGAUCAGGCGGAACACCCGUGGCGAAGGCGGCCAGCUGGGCCGUCCCUGACGCUGAGGCGCGAAGGCGUGGGGAGCGAACGGGAUUAGAUACCCCCGUAGUCC